rnacentral:rRNA from 1 species
GAUGAACGCUGGCGGCGUGCCUAAUACAUGCAAGUCGAGCGAACAGACGAGGAGCUUGCUCCUCUGACGUUAGCGGCGGACGGGUGAGUAACACGUGGAUAACCUACCUAUAAGACUGGGAUAACUUCGGGAAACCGGAGCUAAUACCGGAUAAUAUAUUGAACCGCAUGGUUCAAUAGUGAAAGACGGUUUUGCUGUCACUUAUAGAUGGAUCCGCGCCGCAUUAGCUAGUUGGUAAGGUAACGGCUUACCAAGGCAACGAUGCGUAGCCGACCUGAGAGGGUGAUUGGCCACACUGGAACUGAGACACGGUCCAGACUCCUACGGGAGGCAGCAGUAGGGAAUCUUCCGCAAUGGGCGAAAGCCUGACGGAGCAACGCCGCGUGAGUGAUGAAGGUCUUCGGAUCGGAAAACUCUGUUAUUAGGGAAGAACAAAUGUGUAAGUAACUAUGCACGUCUUGACGGUACCUAAUCAGAAAGCCACGGCUAACUACGUG